rnacentral:rRNA from 1 species
UACGGAGGGGGCUAGCGUUGUUCGGAAUUACUGGGCGUAAAGCGCACGUAGGCGGCUUUGUAAGUUAGAGGUGAAAGCCCGGGGCUCAACCCCGGAAUUGCCUUUAAGACUGCAUCGCUUGAAUCCAGGAGAGGUGAGUGGAAUUCCGAGUGUAGAGGUGAAAUUCGUAGAUAUUCGGAAGAACACCAGUGGCGAAGGCGGGUCUCUGGGCCGUAACUGACGCUGAGGAGCGAAAGCGUGGGGAGCGAACAGG